AGCGCAGGCAGACCGGCAAGUUGGAAGUGAAAACUAUGGGCUCAACCCAUAAAUUGCUUUCAAAACUGCUGGCCUUGAGUAGUGCAGAGGUAGGUGGAAUUCCCGGUGUAGCGGUGGAAUGCGUAGAUAUCGGGAGGAACACCAGUGGCGAAGGCGACCUACUGGGCACCAACUGACGCUGAGGCUCGAAAGCAUGGGUAGCAAACA
rnacentral:rRNA from 1 species